UACGGAAGGGGCAAGCGUUGUUCGGAAUCAUUGGGCGUAAAGGGCGCGUAGGUGGUUCUGUAUGUCUACCGUGAAAGCGUACGGCUCAACCGUAUUUUGUCGGUGGAAACUGCAGGACUUGAGGCUGGGAGGGGCUGGUGGAAUUCCCUGUGUAGCGGUGAAAUGCGCAGAUAUCAGGAGGAACACCAAUUGCGAAGGCAGCUCGCUGGGACGUUACUGACGCUGAGACGCGAAAGCGUGGGGAGCAAACAGG
rnacentral:rRNA from 1 species